rnacentral:rRNA from 1 species
AGUGAACGCUGGCGGUAGGCCUAACACAUGCAAGUCGAACGGCAGCACAGUAAGAGCUUGCUCUUACGGGUGGCGAGUGGCGGACGGGUGAGGAAUACAUCGGAAUCUACUUUUUCGUGGGGGAUAACGUAGGGAAACUUACGCUAAUACCGCAUACAACCUACGGGUGAAAGCAGGGGAUCUUCGGACCUUGCGCGAUUGAAUGAGCCGAUGUCGGAUUAGCUAGUUGGCGGGGUAAAGGCCCACCAAGGCGACGAUACGUAGCUGGUCUGAGAGGAUGAUCAGCCACACUGGAACUUAGACACGGUCCAGACUCCUACGGGAGGCAGCAGUGGGGAAUAUUGGACAAUGGGCGCAAGCCUGAUCCAGCCAUACCGCGUGGGUGAAGAAGGCCUUCGGGUUGUAAAGCCCUUUUGUUGGGAAAGAAAAGCAGCAGGUUAAUACCCCGCUGUUCUGACGGUACCCAAAGAAUAAGCACCGGCUAACUUCGUG